UAUUAAGGUAUUUUAUGAUUAUAUUUUAUACUAAGUUUACUUCAUAGAUUUAUACUUGUUCAAGUUUAUACUUGAUUCAUUCUUUCCUAUUUUUUUCUAAACCACUCUUGUAGAAUUUUGUUAUGGUCUAAUGUUUAUGAUAUGUGUAAUGUAAAAAAAUCUUGCUAAUUACAAAUGAUUGUUUUAUAUAUUAGAAUAUAUUGCCAUUGCUGAAUUAAAGCAAUGACUGCUUAAUUAUAUGCUUAAAAAUAUAUAUUGUAUUGAAUCAUUUUAAUAAUUGAGUAACUUAUACACAAUGAAUGUAAUAAAGUUUAUGAAAAUAAAAAAAUGUAUUUUUUUUGUGUAAUAACUUGACUUGCAAGUCUGCGAUAUGUAUCUUCAAUUUUGUGCCAUCAAGUUUUUAUAACAAGUAUAUAGCAUUGUUAUGGAUUUUCUUUAAAACAUAUGAUCUAAACUAGUUUAAAAAACUUUUGUAAUGCACUAUGUUAGUUAUCUAGACUAUUAUAAUAAAGCAAGACCUAAUCAUCUUCUUAAAUUUCUUUAGGUUGUAGUCAAUGCUUUUUAUCAAAUGUUUUUUUAUUUUAUUAUUUUGUUUCUUUCAAUUUCUCUAUUGCU
rnacentral:lncRNA from 1 species